rnacentral:rRNA from 1 species
AGGAAGCACCGGCUAACUCCGUGCCAGCAGCCGCGGUAAUACGGAGGGUGCAAGCGUUGUUCGGAAUCACUGGGCGUAAAGCGCGUGUAGGCGGCCUUCUAAGUCAGAUGUGAAAGCCCUUAGCUCAACUAAGGAAUUGCAUCUGAAACUAGUUGGCUUGAGUACGGGAGAGGAGAGUGGAAUUCCCGGUGUAGAGGUGAAAUUCGUAGAUAUCGGGAAGAACACCGGUGGCGAAGGCGGCUCUCUGGACCGAUACUGACGCUGAGACGCGAAAGCGUGGGGAGCAAACAGGAUUAGAUACCCUGGUAGUCCACGCCGUAAACGAUGGGCACUAGGUGUGGAGGGUAUUGACCCCCUCUGUGCCGUAGCUAACGCA